GACGAACCACACAAACGUUAUUCGGAAUUACUGGGCUUAAAGGGUGCGUAGGCGGCCUGGCAAGUUGGGUGUGAAAUACCUCGGCUUAACCGAGGAAUGGCGCUCAAAACUGCCGGGCUUGAGGGAGAUAGAGGUGAGCGGAACUUAAGGUGGAGCGGUGAAAUGGCGCAGAUAUCAGGAGGAACACCGGUGGCGAAGGCGGAUCUCUGGGCCUUACCUGACGCUGAGGCGCGAAAGCUAGGGGAGCGAA
rnacentral:rRNA from 1 species